AGAGACAGCAGUAGCCACGGGAAUACGGAGGAUCCAAGCGUUAUCCGGAAUCAUUGGGUUUAAAGGGUCCGUAGGCGGUCUUGUAAGUCAGUGGUGAAAGCCCAUCGCUCAACGGUGGAACGGCCAUUGAUACUGCAGGACUUGAAUUAUUGGGAAGUAACUAGAAUAUGUAGUGUAGCGGUGAAAUGCUUAGAGAUUACAUGGAAUACCAAUUGCGAAGGCAGGUUACUACCAAUUGAUUGACGCUGAUGGACGAAAGCGUGGGUAGCGAACAGGAUUAGAUAUCCCCGUAGUCCCUGUCUCUUAUAU
rnacentral:rRNA from 1 species